rnacentral:misc_RNA from 1 species
GGAUGAUAUAAACCACAAAAGUUCUAGCGUAUGGGAUUCCCCCAUCAGAUUCCUGCAUUUUCCUUAGAAACCAACAACUGAUCAAUAGUUAUUUGGCUCCUAUAGCGAACCAGUUAAUGAAGCCAACGGUACUGAAACGACUGGUGGAUUGUUUCAUAAUGAUUCUGAACGUGAAAGAUAUUAAAGAAGCUUCGACAAGAUUAAGGAUUGGAUUGAUUGUUCUUUGUUGAACAAGGUAUGAACCCCUGAUGGAAUUGCAUGAUCAGCUUGUGAAGCACUUGCUGCUGAGGGACCAAAAACAAGUUCUCAACUUCUUCAAUUAUUCCAUUUCAAUAUAUAGCAGAAAGAACUUCCUGUUUCUACUGUAGAUACAGGAAAAGAAAAGGUGUUCUGAGUUAUGAUCAUCUUGCAGUCAGUAAGAUCACAUGAACCACAUUCAAAAGUGAGAGAUAUUUCAGCACCAGACUCUGAGCUAUGUCAGUAUUAGAACUGCU